CAGCGAGACCAACCGCAUCAGAGUCACGUGCUACCAUUGAGACCAAUCAACUCACGCCCCACGCCGACCGACAGGAAGUUGUCACGAGCAUAGAGGCGGAACAGGAAGCAUCCACAGACACAGAAUUGGCGGACGCUUUAUCUGCAUACGAAGGCGUGAACCUUCCUCACAAGUCGACAAACAAAGUUAGAGUUAAGCGUCGUGACACAGGACGAGGGGUUCAAAGAGGAAGGAGGAGGAGGAGGGCAACCUUCUACAACACACGCCACUCAACCACCAGGGGGCCUGAGCCGGCACGCGAGAGUCAUCACCACAAGAAUAGAAGGCGUCCUGUAAAGUGCAGUGGUAAUUGUAUCUACAAAAGUUGGUUACAAGAAUGUUUUAAGGUAAUACGUAUUCUGACAGAUUUGGCCGAAUCAAGAUAGGUCUGAUUUUUUUUUACAACACUGUGUUGUUUCUGUUGUGAUUUUCUU